AUUUUCAUCAAUCAAAAUAUAUCAAUUUGAAUAUUAUUUAAAAAGUCGUAAUACAUUAUUAAAUCUAGUGGAAGUGAACAAUUUGGAGACUGCAGUCACAGAAAUCUGGAAAAAUUAGUCGCUGAGAGUUGUCAAGAUGAAUCUUUUUAUUCUUUUCCUUGUUAUAGGACUAGUCAAAACACAAGAUUGGUCUGACUCAAACGACUCAAACGGCUUCUCAGAUAAUUCCGGGUCUUCUGAAGAAGCAGUAGGCUUUGGCAGGCAUACUGGUUUUAUGCGUCAAGCAGGUGCUUGGACAAAUACAAGGCCAGUAGCAAGUUUAUGGAAUACUUCUAUGAGGAGGAAUACUCCAAGCAAUUCAAGACAAUUAGUCAAUUCUUCAUUUAGAAGACAAUCGCCAAGAACAUCCCAUUUGAACGAAAGAUCCAAAUUUGUCUUACGUUUCGUGAUUAGACAACCCAAUCCAUCAUACAGAUCAGUUUACCAACACGUCUAGCCUAAAGUUAACGGACUGAAGUGAAGAAAAUUCAGGAGUGUAAAUGUUAAAAGCUACUAAAAUUUGUUAAUUUAUAUUAGUGUUAUUGCUUUAAAUUACUACAGAUAUAAAACUGUAUUUGGAAUGCAAAAACCUGUAACGUCAAUUUAUGCACGACAAACCUAUAGUUUGGCAUUGCACAAGGUAAUGUUUUCUCUAAUUGUUAAUGUCGCCUUUAACUACAUUCAUUGAAAGUUGGGUGUGCACUAAUUGACAUUUCAGUUUUAUGUUUAUGAAUUUUAGGUGUUAUUGGCUUUGAAUUUGCUGUCAGUUACUUCAAGUACUCUGAGAUCUGACCUAGUGUCCUUUUUGUUAAUAAAAUGAGUAAUAGAUAA